rnacentral:rRNA from 1 species
GACGAACGCUGGCGGCGUGCUUAACACAUGCAAGUCGAACGGAAAGGCCCUGCUUUUGUGGGGUGCUCGAGUGGCGAACGGGUGAGUAACACGUGAGUAACCUGCCCUUGACUUUGGGAUAACUUCAGGGAACUGGGGCUAAUACCGGAUAGGAGCUCCUGCUCCAUGUUGUGGGUUGGAAAGAUUCGGCGGUAGGGGCUGGAUUGGAGGCUUAUCCGCUUGUUGGGGGGGUAGUGGCUUACGAGGGCUUUGAAGGGUAGCCCGCCUUGGAGGUGUGACGGCCACCUUGGGACUGAGAUACGCAGCAGUAGGGAAUGGGACGCAGCGGUCGGGAGCCUUGCGGAGUGACGGCAAGUGAGAGGUGGCGACGUCGCGUGCGGAAUGACGUCCUUCGGGGUGUAAACCGCUGUGUCAUUUGCUGAGGACGUCGUGACGGUACUGGGUAAAAAAGCACCGGCUAACUACGUG